UAGCUGGGUUGUUAAGUCUCUUGGGAAAUCUGGCGGCUUAACCGUCAGGCGUCUAAGGGAUACUGGCAAUCUUGGAACCGGGAGAGGUGAGGGGUACUUCGGGGGUAGGAGUGAAAUCCUGUAAUCCUCGAGGGACCACCUGUGGCGAAGGCGCCUCACCAGAACGGCUUCGACAGUGAGGGACGAAAGCUGGGGGAGCAAACCGGAUUAGAUACCCGGGUAGUCCCAGCCGUAAACUAUGCGCGUUAGGUGUAUCGGUGACCACGAGUUACCGAGGUGCCGAAGGGAAACCGUGAAACGUGCCGCCUGGGAAGUACGGUCGCAAGGCUGAAACUUAAAGGAAUUGGCGGGGGAGCACCACAACAGGUGGAGCCUGCGGUUUAAUUGGACUCAACGCCGGGAAGCUCACCGGAUAGGACAGCAGAAUGAUUGCCGGGCUGAAGACCCUGCAUGACUAGCUGAGAGGAGGUGCAUGGCCGUCGUCAGUUCGUACUGUGAAGCAUCCUGUUAAGUCAGGCAACGAGCAAGACCCACGCCAACAGUUGCCAGCAUGGUCUCCGGACUGAUGGGGACACUGUUGGGACCGCCUCUGCUAAAGAGGAGGAAGGAAUGGGCAACGGUAGGUCAGCAUGCCCCGAAUUAUCCGGGCUACACGCGGGCUACAAUGGGCAGGACAAUGGGCAUCGACACCGUGAGGUGGAGGCAAUCUCCUAAACCUGUCCUUAGUUCGGAUUGUGGGCUGAAACUCGCCCACAUGAAGCUGGAAUCUGUAGUAAUCGCGUUUCAAAAUAACGCGGUGAAUUUGUCCCUGCUCCUUGUACACACCGCCCGU
rnacentral:rRNA from 1 species